AGCUUUGCUCUUCAGGCUAGGCUCCCUUGAGCAUACGCCUCUUCCAUCUCGGAGCAAAGACUGAGCAGGCUGAGGUGGCCCUCACCAAGCAAAGCAAUUCCAUGAGCUCCUCUCCCCUUCAGGUGCCAGGCGAAAGCCCUGCAUUGUGCCGGGUUCACUGAUUUGUUUAUAUGGUGGAUUACAUUUAUUGAUUUUUAUAUAUUGCACCAUCACUGCAUCUCUGGGAUGAAGUCUACUUGAUCAAG
rnacentral:lncRNA from 1 species